rnacentral:sRNA from 1 species
UGGAACAAUAUUCCUCCACCUAUCCAGC